GUUAUAUCUAUUGAUAUUGCUAUCACACAGAUUUAGCAAUAAUUACUUUUUUGUUUUCAGAAACCAAUAAAUUUUGGCACUUUCUAAUAAAGUUGUUGCAUAGUCUUACAUGUGAAGAAAGACUAGUGGAAUAAUGCUGAAUAACUUUCAGAUGUUUAUUGGUUUUGUCAAAAAAAGAGCAUAGAAAUCAAUACAUAUUUUGAUUUAUUUUUUCAAUGUUUAAAAACCAAUAAAUUUUGGCACUUUCUAAUAAAGCUGUUGCAUAGUCUUACAUGUGAAGAAAGACUAGUUGAAUAAUGAUACGUAUGACUUUGGUGACUUCUUAAUAAAGCUUUUGCAUAGUCUGAUAUGUGAAGAAAGACUAGUGGAAUAAUGGUGAAUAAUUUUGAGAAGUUUUUUGGUUUUGUCAAAAAAAAAGCACAGAAAUCAAUAUUUUUAUUUUUAUUUAUUUUUUCAAUAUAUAAUUAAAUAUUUUAGCAUAUAAAUUUCGUUAUAUCUAUUAAAAUUGCAAUCACCCAGAUUUACCUUAAUUCAUUACCUACCGAGUGUAAUGGAAUUUAACUACAAUGUUAUAGUUUUGGUUUUUUUCAUAAAAAAGUGUAGAAUAUAAUUCAAAUUUUGACUUAUUUAUUACAUUAAUAAGUAAAUAUCUUACACUAUCAUUUUAAUUGUAUCGUGAAUGACGUGAACGAUUUCCUUUUUUAAGGACUAAAGGUGAACGUGACCUAAUCAAUUUCUUUUAGUGAACGUUCCGAACACUGCUUUUUUAUUUUAGUGAACAUAUGUAAUAUUUGUGCUAUUUAUUCCAUAGUUAUACACAAUGACUUUUUUUAUAAAAUGAAAUGGCGGGCUGGUCUCGACCAUUUUAUUUUGAUGAUAAAAGUGUUCAUAACAUCAUGCCAUUUACCGUUAAGCUUUGCGCUACGAAAUAAAGAAAAUGAAAAUUAAGAGGUUAGCAUCACUUUUAUAGUGUUGUAUUGUGGUGUGCAGACCAAUCAAAAUCGUUGGCGGGAAUACCAUUUUAUUUAAUCGUUACAAACACACUGUCGAUAGUGUUGGUACCUCUUGGUAUCUGUUGUUUGUCUUUCGAUGAUUCACUGUUUUCUUUAAUUUACUUGGGUUCCGCCACACGGUUGACGUCUCCAACGCCGUAAACUCAUUUCAGAUAUUUUCAUUGACAAGUCUUCGAUAUGAAUCCCAGGUGAGUAACAAAUAUAAUAUUCAUGCACAUGCACGAGCUUCCGAAUUUACGGUAACUCGGUUUUUAUCCGCAGUUUUCGUUGUUUGCAAAUGUUAUCCUAGUACCUAUUUACUGUUAUUGUUUCAAUAUUUAAAGUUUCAAAUGAAUAUAUUUGAAAUUAAAAUCAUAUUUUUCGAUUCCACCAGAAUUUAAGUCUUAAAUAGGAAUGAUUUUUUUCAACUGGUCGGCUGUGUGCAUAGUGCCCAAGUAUUUGCUUAGUUUUAUCACUAGGAAAUUCUUAUCAAAAUGUAACUCAAAGUACACUUCAGAUAUUAAAAACAUAAUACAGAUACUUUAUAAAUUGUAUUUUUAUUUUUGGGUUGAGUCAUAUAUGUAUAUGGAUUUUAAUAUUUCCUGCAGGUUGAUUCUUAAAAAGAAAUUAAAAAAAUUUUAAUUUUUUGCGUUUAUUUUUUGAAAGAACGUGGACGUGAACGAGUUUCUUUAUUGAGGACUGAACGUGAACGUGAACAAAUCAAUUUUUUUAGUGAACGUUCCGAACACUGCUUUUUUCAUUAAGUGAACAUGUGUAAUGUUUGUGUUACUUAUUCCAUAAUAAUACACAGUGACUUUUAAAAAAAAAAUAAAAUGGCGGGCUUGUCGUGAGCAUUCAAUUUCGAUGAUAAAAAUGUUCGUAACAUCAUACCAUAUACCGUCAAGCUUGGCUCUACGAAAUAAAGAAAAUGAAGAGGUUAGCGUCACUUCUAUAGUGUUGUAGUGUGGUAGGCAGCCCAAUCAAAGUCGUUGGCGGGAUUACCAUUUUUUUCCGUUACAUACACACUGUCGAUAGUGUUGAUACCUCUUGUCCAAUCGUCCAAUCAUCGUCUUUUAUUAAGUUGUGGAGAUUGUAUGUAUUUGUUCUAUUAUCUGUUGUUUGUCGUUCGGUGAUUCACUGUUUUCUUUCAUUUACUUGGAUCCCGCCACACGGUUGACGUCUCCAACGCCGUAAACUCAUUUCAGAUAUUUUCAUUGACAAGUCUUCGAUAUGAAUCCCAGGUGAGUAACAAAUAUAAUAUUCAUGCACAUGCACGAGCUUCCGAAUUUACGGUAACUCGGUUUUUAUCCGCAGUUUUCGUUGUUUGCAAAUGUUAUCCUUUCCCAUAUAAUCUGCACAUGACUGAGGUCCGAAUAGUUUUUUUCAAAAAAAAUUCAUAUCUUGUAAUUCAUCGGAUAUUUUGGUGAUGUCGCCGCCGUCAUCAUUAUCCAAAUGUAGGCGAUGGUGGUUAUAGGUAAAUGUUCGAUCGUACAAAUAAUAAAUCACGAAAUCCAUUUCGAAAUUAUAAUGGAUGCCUAUCAUCACUUUUCCAAUCGCGUAACUUGAGAGUUGACAGUAUUAAGUGUUAUGCAUUGCCUUUCUCUUACUUUGUAGUCCUAAGUGACCAAGUAGAAUAUUAUACAAUGCACAUAUGUCUUCGCCUCCUGUCUUCGAUGGUUUUCGGACUUAAGUACCUUAUUUAUGCGCGUUUUUGUUUUUAUCAACUAUCAGGAUCGACUAAUUGGUACACAAAUGAUGUUCGCAGUCAUGUUAUCAUAUACCUAUCAAACGAACAAAUAAUAAUAAAAAAAAACUACUUUUUACUACAGGUAUGUAUACAAAUACGUAAGACAUGAAUAUGUCUUAAAGCUAAUGACUUAUUUACAUAAACUGCCCCUAUAGCUGGUUCAUGACGUCAUUUUAAUGCUCUCCGUGUCAAACAUUGUAGUGAAUCAUAAGCAUAAUAUUAAUAAUAUCAUACAAAUUAUAUGAUUUGUAAGGCAUAAUACCUAUUUCAAAUAAAUAAUAGAUAUAUUUUGAUAUUUCAAUAAUCAACAUAUUAUUGUAAUUUUA
rnacentral:lncRNA from 1 species